AAAUGUUAAAGUUCUUAUUUCAUGGUAUAACUUUGGUAUGCUUGGACCUAGAGUCUUCAAACUUGACAUGAAGGUUGGCCAGGAUUAACAGAUGACCACUGGUCAUUUCAAGGUCAUUCAUUUGAAGGUCAAGGUCACUGUGACCUUCAAUAUAAAAAAUGUUAAAGUUGUUAUAACUUUGGUAUGCUUGGACCUAGAGUCUUGAAACUUGACAUGAAGGUUGGCCAUAACUAGUUAGUAACCACUGGUCAUUUCAAGGUCAUUCAUUUGAAGGUCAAGGUCACUGUGACCUUGAAUGUAAAAAUGUUAAAGUUCUUAUUUCAUGGUAUAACUUUGGUAUGCUUGGACCUAGAGUCUUCAAACUUGACAUGAAGGUUGGCCAGGAUUAACAGAUGACCACUGGUCAUUUCAAGGUCAUUCAUUUGAAGGUGAAGGUCACUGUGACCUUCAAUAUAAAAAUGUUAAAGUUGUUAUAACUUUGGUAUGCUUGGACCUAGAGUCUUGAAACUUGACAUGAAGGUUGGCCAGAACUAGUAAGUAACCACUGGACAUUUCAAGGUCAUUCAUUUGAAGGUCAAGGUCACUGUGACCUUGAAUGUAAAAAUGUUAAAGUUGUUAUAACUUUGGUAUGCUUGGACCUAGAGUCUUGAAACUUGACAUGAAGGUUGGCCAGAACUAGUAAGUAACCACUGGACAUUUCAAGGUCAUUCAUUUGAAGGUCAAGGUCACUGUGACCUUGAAUGUAAAAAUGUUAAAGUUCUUAUUUCAUGUUAUAACUUUGGUAUGCUUGUACCUAGAGUCUUCAAACUUGAAAUAAAGAUUGGCCAGUACUAGAAGAUGACCACUGGUCAUUUCAAUGUCAUUCAUUUGAAGGUCAAGGUCACUGUGACCUUCAAUGUUAAAAUGUUAAAAUUGUUAUAACUUUGGUAUGCUUGGACCUAGAAUCUCAAACUUGACGUAAAGGUUUGCAAGCACACUUAGAUGACCACUGGUCAUUUCAAGGUCAUUCAUUUCAAUGUCAUUCAUUUGAAGGUCAAGGUCACUGUGAACUUAAAUGUUAAAAUGUUAAAAUUGUUGUAACUUUGGUAUGCUUGGACCUAGAAUCUCAAACUUGACGUAAAGGUUUGCAAGCACACUUAGAUGACCACUGGUCAUUUCAAGGUCAUUCAUUUGAAGGUCGAGGUCACUGUGACCUUGGAUGUAAAUAUGUUAAAGUUGUUAAUACUUUGGUAUGCUUAGACCUAGAGUCUUCAAACUUGAUAUGAAGGUUGGCCAGAACUAGUAGAUGACCACUGGUCAUUUUAAGGUCAAGGUCACCGUGACCUUGAAUGUAAAAAUGUUAAAA